ACGCUGGCGGCGUGCCUAAUGCAUGCAAGUCGAACGGGAUCAUCCAAUCAUACGAGCCUUCGGGUGAGUAUGGGAUGAGGACCGUGGCGGACGGGUGAGGAACGCGUGGCCGACCUGCCCUGAUCACGGGGACAACCGCGGGAAACUGCGGCUAACACCCGAUACCUUCAUGAGGGGGGACCUUCAUGAAGAAAACAUUACGGAUUGGAUCAGGAGGGGGCUGCGCCCGAUUAGCUAGCUGGUGGGGUAACGGCCUACCAGGGCGACGAUCGGUCGCUGGUCUGAGAGGAUGAUCAGCCACACGGGGACUGAGACACGGCCCCGACUCCUACGGGAGGCAGCAGCAAGGAAUUUUCCCCAAUGGGCGCAAGCCUGAGGGAGCAACGCCGCGUGGGGGAUGAAGCAUUUCGGUGUGUAAACCCCUUUUCCGAGGGACGAAACGAAUGACGGUACCUCGGGAAGAAGGCCCGGCUAACUACGUGCCAUCAGCCGCGGUAAUACGUAGGGGCCAAGCGUUGUCCGGAGUUACUGGGCGUAAAGGGUGCGCAGGCGGUUGGUUACGUCGUGUGUGAAAGCCCCCGGCUUAACCGGGGAGGGUCGCGCGAAACGGGCUAACUGGAGGCAAGGCGAGGUCGGUGGAAUUCCCGGUGUAGUGGUGAAAUGCGUAGAGAUCGGGAGGAACACCAGAGGCGAAGGCGGCCGACUGGACUUGACCUGACGCUGAGGCACGAAGGCGUGGGGAGCGAACGGGAUUAGAUACCCCGGUAGUCCACGCAGUAAACGAUGGAUACUAGGUGUGGCGGGAGUUGACCCCGGCCGUGCCGGAGCUAACGCAGUAAGUAUCCCGCCUGGGGAGGGGCCGCAAGGCUAAAACUCAAAGGAAUUGACGGGGCCCCGCACAAGCAGCGGAGCGUGUGGUUUAAUUCGACAACGCGCAGAACCUUACCAGGACUUGACAUCCCGGGAACCUUGGUGAAAGCCAGGGGUGCUCUUCGGAGAGCCCGGAGACAGGUGUUGCAUGGCUGUCGUCAGCUCGUGUCGUGAGAUGUUGGGUUAAGUCCCGCAACGAGCGCAACCCCUGUGGCUAGUUAUGUGGAUGUCUAGCCAGACUGCCGCAAUGCGGAGGAAGGCGGGGAUGACGUCAAGUCAGCAUGACCCUUAUGUCCUGGGCAACACACACGCUACAAUGGCCGGUACAGAGGGCAGCCAAGUCGCAAGACGGAGCCAAUCCCAGAAAGCCGGUCUCAGUCCGGAUUGGGGGCUGCAACUCGCCCCCAUGAAGGUGGAGUUGCUAGUAACCGCAGGUCAGCAUACUGCGGUGAAUACGUUCCCGGGGCUUGUACAC
rnacentral:rRNA from 1 species